UGCUUGAUCGGCUUUUGCUACUCCAAUUUGAGAUUCUGCUUGCUCGAGUUCUACGCCCUCCUGCUCUGUUCUCUCCCUUUUUUUUCUUUUUCAGCUGCCGGUCACCUCUAUUUAUGGAAUAAUAAUAACCUCCAAUAAUUCAAAAUAAAAUUUGAUCUUAUCCCCCUUUAUCCUAGCUGAACCCGUCGCAUAAAAAUAGCUUCAGCUUACUAGAGUUUUACUUUAA
rnacentral:lncRNA from 1 species